ACUCCUACGGGAGGCAGCAGUGGGGAAUAUUGGACAAUGGGCGCAAGCCUGAUCCAGCCAUGCCGCGUGAGUGAUGAAGGCCCUAGGGUUGUAAAGCUCUUUCACCGGUGAAGAUAAUGACGGUAACCGGAGAAGAAGCCCCGGCUAACUUCGUGCCAGCAGCCGCGGUAAUACGAAGGGGGCUAGCGUUGUUCGGAUUUACUGGGCGUAAAGCGCACGUAGGCGGACUAUUAAGUCAGGGGUGAAAUCCCGGGGCUCAACCCCGGAACUGCCUUUGAUACUGGUAGUCUUGAGUUCGAGAGAGGUGAGUGGAAUUCCGGGUGUAGAGGUGAAAUUCGUAGAUAUUCGGAGGAACACCAGUGGCGAAGGCGGCUCACUGGCUCGAUACUGACGCUGAGGUGCGAAAGCGUGGGGAGCAAACAGGAUUAGAUACCCCGGUAGUCCCAUGA
rnacentral:rRNA from 1 species